rnacentral:misc_RNA from 1 species
GGCGAUUCAGGUCAAAGCGUGAUGCAAGGAAAAAAGGAGGUGGUGGUGGUGGUGGGAAAAAGGGUAAAAGUCGAGGUAGCAAUGGUCGAGGCGUGCGUGGAGUAGAUUUUGGUCUUGGAAUUGGUUAUAAUCCAGAAAGCAGUGGUAGUAGUCCUUCAGCAACCAAUGUUCAAAGUCGAUCUGCAGCUGUAAAUUCUUUGAGGACAGGAAUGAUGGCGCAGUUUAAGAGCAAUUUUGUUGCCGCUUCAUCUGGCCCACCAAGUCAGGGUUCAAGUAACAACUAUAGCGCGCCAGCAAACAAAAGGCCAACGUUAUCAGGCUUUGUAUCUGGUGGUUCGAUUGGUGGGGGUGCGAACAGCCCAGCACCUCCAGUGUCAAGAGGGAACUCGUACAUGCCAAAUUCUGUAGAAUAUUCAAG